rnacentral:piRNA from 1 species
CUAAAGAAGUAGAGCUUCUGCAGC